AGGAGAAUGGAGCGGAGGAGGAAGGACCACUGGCCUCACUACUAGGAAGAGUUAUGGGGGGCCUAUUUUUCUUCUUAGCCUUAAACUCUUUCACAACCAGGUGCUCUGGCCAAAAUUUGGAAGAGAAAAUGGUCUCGAAAUGAGUUGGAGACACGCUAAUCUUGAAAGAGGAUAUCUCCCUGGCAUAAGAGAAAUUAAACUUCUCCACCUUUAAGCCAACGGCUUUUAUUUUGCUUUGUAUAAAAGCAGUUACAUCAUUAGAUGUGAGGUCAGGGGCAAGCCGAGAGACAAAAACUUGCCGCUUUGGUGGGACUCAAACCAGAGGUUUUGGCACCACAGGUCUGGUACCUGUGACGGCAAUAUCCGGUGGUCCGGGACGUUUAUUAACUGGUGGGAUCGACAUAAAUGGGAUGGGCUUUGGAACGGACUCGACAGACACGGACGCUACAGUACUAACUGGCUGCAUGUUCUCCGAGAUGAUCGAUUCGGUAGCCGAAACUUGAUCACCAGCAGUUGUCGUUGCCCUUGGAGUAGCGAACGAAAUUAGCUGCUGCACUAUCGGAGUGGACGGAGAUAGUUGAUCAGCAGCGAGCGGUCGAGGGACAGGCACUUGCAGAUCACGAGGAGUGACUUUUUUGCGCCUAGGAGACUCAUUCAGCACUUUAAAACUGCCGAAUUGAGAUUCCAUGGCUAGAAGCCGAUCUUACUGCUUUUUAAAGCCCACGGUCAGCUCCAUAAAGCCUCUUCGCGUCUGCCUCAUAAACGUGACCAUGUCAUUCUCGAUAGACCGACAUGCCUCG
rnacentral:lncRNA from 1 species